CAUGUCCUUUUGAGAAUAAUUUAAGGUCUAAUCUGCUCAAUGAAUUUUAAAUUGCCGCAGUAUUUUGACUGUGCAAAGGUAGCAUAAUAAUUAGUUUUUUAAUUAAGAACUGGUAUGAAUGAUUGGACAAGAGAAUUACUGUCUCUUUUUUAAUUUUUAUUGAAUUUUAUUUUUAAGUGAAAAAGCUUAAAUUUUUAUAAAAGACGAGAAGACCCUAUAGAGUUUAAUAUUUUUAAUAAUUUGAAUGUAGAAUUGUUUUUUAUUAAAGUUUAUUUAGUUGGGGUGAUUUGAAGAUUAAAUUAAUUCUUUAAUUAAAAAAUUAGUGAUUUCUAAAAUAAUAUUCUAUAAUUUGUAAGUAUAAAAUAAAUUACCUUAGGGAUAACAGCGUAAUUUUUCUUUAAAGUUCUUAUUAAAAGAAAAGUUUGCGACCUCGAUGUUGGAUUAAAAUUAAUUUUUGGUGCAAAAACUUAAAAAUUAGGUCUGUUCGACCUUUAAAAUUUUACAUGAUCUGAGUUUAAACCGGUGUAAACCAGGUUGGAUUCUAUCUUUAAAUAAUUAAUAUAUUUUAGUACGAAAGGACCAAAUAUUUAUUAAAUUAAUUG
rnacentral:rRNA from 1 species